UCACAAAGCUUAAAUAUACUUACAUUAUUUAAAUGUCUUUAGAUGAAAUGAAGAACUGUCAUUGUGAAAAUAUUUAAACCUGCUCCAGCGCCAGCACACAGUCAAAAUGGUGUUAUUAUACACAAACACCAGGAUGUAUUCACUUCUGCUGUCUACAGAGAGUGGAGGAUGUGUAGAAAUGCCUGGGGUUAUGCUGACACUCUGAAUACUUCAACACCCUGCUCAGCUUCUUCAAGUCCCAAGACAUUCAGCAACACAGCGAUACCUGGAGGCAACUCUUGAUGGCUUGCUGGCAAGAGAAGCUGCCAAGGCACACGUAGCUGCUAUUUGUCAGCAAUGGCAACUAUCUGAUCUUCUCACUGGUGAGCAUGAGGUGGAGGAUUCGUCUACCUGGGGAAACCUAGGAUGUUUGAGCAUUCAUCCAUCCUAGAGAAUAGUCAAGCUCAGCUGCAGAGGUUAUCAGCCAUGGCUAUCACAGUGUGUCUGACCUGGCCCUGCAACAAUCACUGCUGCAGCCUUCAUAUGCUUGGCACAAAACAGUCAUACUCCUCCUGAUGUGAGACUGCAGACCAGUCUAAAAUCUCAGUUCAGCACAAUAGACCUCUCAGCCCAGCUCACAGGCACUUUCAUAGUAUUCCUGAAGCAAACUAUUCUUUCUCUUUCUUUUCACACGGGGAAAGGCUUGCUCUCACAAGCACUUCAAAACCUUAUUUCAUAACCUCAUUUAUUAAGCUCAUUGAAUAAGCACAGCACAAAGACUUCACUAUGAACUUUCCCUAAUGCAGAGCAAUAAUUUCAUGCAGUCAAUAGCCACAGCUAAGGCACCUCAUGUUCCUCGCAAUCAUCAAGCAAGAACAGUUCUCUGCUGUGGGGCAGAGUCCUGUUUCACUUUGACCAGAAUCCUACUUCACUUCUAAUACAAAACUGUGGAAGAGAGAAGGUAGAAGUUUUUCUGAUGUAGAACAU
rnacentral:lncRNA from 1 species